rnacentral:rRNA from 1 species
AUACGGGCCAGACUCAUACGGGAGGCAGCAGUCGGGAAUUUUGGGCAAUGGGCGCAAGCCUGACCCAGCAACGCCGCGUGAAGGAUGAAGUUUUUCGGAAUGUAAACUUCAUAAGAAUGGGACGAAUAAGUGGGGGCUAAUACCCCCCAUGAUGACGGUACCAUUUGUAAGCUCCGGCUAACUCCGUGCCAGCAGCCGCGGUAAUACGGGGGGAGCAAGCGUUGUUCGGAUUUACUGGGCGUAAAGGGCGCGUAGGCGGCGCAACAAGUCACUUGUGAAAUCUCCGGGCUUAACUCGGAGCGGUCAAGUGAUACUGUCGUGCUAGAGUGCGGAAGGGGCUACUGGAAUUCUCGGUGUAGCGGUGAAACGCGUAGAUAUCGAGAGGAACACCUGCGGCGAAGGCGGGUAGCUGGGCCGACA